CCCGGGCGUACGUGUCAUUACUGUCGCUUUUGACGUGUCCUUGUCGCGUAAUCUAUAAACAGGUAUAUUAAAGUGCAAGAUGGAGGGAGAGUACUCUUACGAUCCAAACUCAUUCGAGGUUACUGAGAAAAUGAUAGAAGAUUACAAUCGCCUAGGGUUUAUCAUUGUGAGGGGGUUGCUGGAUGCAGAGGAGAUGGCUCUUUUGCGAAAGACGUUGGAAGGCUCGGACGCAAUCAUGAAACAUGCUUAUCAG